CUUGGGGGCAGCAGAAACAAGCUGCACACACGACAAUGACAUAUUAUCAUUAUUAUUGUUAGCAAAGACGUAUUUAGACAUCCAGCAAUUACAGAGCAACAUUAUCAUUCAUUUGGAGUGUUACCACCCAUCCAGUGAAUGCACAAUCAGCAUCAUUGUGCCUCUGGAGGAGACGGGUGCAGUGGCACCGCAGGGCAAACAUGAAGAGGAGCAGCUCGCAGACAUUGGCUGUUUACUCUGAAGACAUCACAGAAAAAUAAUUGUGAUCAGAUGCAUGUAUUCUGCACGAUGAGACGCCGAACUGCUGCAUGUCUGUGGCAUGUGUGCAGUUUGGCACUUGAAUGAAUUAAAAAGUGGUUUUCAAAGUGCA